UGUGUAGGUGGAUGCCUAAGUGUUUUGUGAAAUCCCAUGGCUUAACCAUGGAAUGGCUUGACAUACUGGGCGUCUUGAGCCACUCAGGGGCUACCGGAACUAACGGUGGAGCGGUGAAAUGCGUAGAUAUCGUUAGGAACGCCAAUGGUGAAAACAGGUAGCUGGGGGUGUGCUGACACUGAGACACGAAAGCCAGGGGAGCAAACGGGAUUAGAUACCCCGGUAGUCCUGGCCCUAAACGAUGUCCACUAGAUCGUGGCACCUCUGACGGUGUCAUGGUCGAAGCAAAAGUGCUAAGUGGACCGCCUGGGAAGUACGGUCGCAAGGCUAAA
rnacentral:rRNA from 1 species